rnacentral:rRNA from 1 species
AGGGUUUGAUCAUGGCUCAGAUUGAACGCUGGCGGCAUGCCUAACACAUGCAAGUCGAACGGUAACGACGGAAGCUUGCUUCCGGGCGACGAGUGGCGGACGGGUGAGUAACGCGUGGGAAUCUACCUAGUAGCGGGGGACAACUCGAGGAAACUCGAGCUAAUACCGCAUAAUCCCUUCGGGGGAAAGGCUUCGGCCACUAUUAGAUGAGCCCGCGUCCGAUUAGCUUGUUGGUAGGGUAACGGCCUACCAAAGCGACGAUCGGUAGCUGGUCUGAGAGGACGAUCAGCCACACUGGGACUUAGACACGGCCCAGACUCCUACGGGAGGCAGCAGUGGGGAAUAUUGCACAAUGGGCGAAAGCCUGAUGCAGCAAUGCCGCGUGUGUGAAGAAGGCCUGCGGGUUGUAAAGCACUUUCAGUAGGGAAGAUAAUGACGGUACCUACAGAAGAAGCACCGGCUAACUCCGUGCCAGCAGCCGCGGUAAUACGGAGGGUGCGAGCGUUAAUCGGAAUUACUGGGCGUAAAGCGCGCGUAGGCGGCUUAUUAAGUCGAAUGUGAAAGCCCUGGGCUUAACCUAGGAAUUGCAUUCGAUACUGAUGGGCUAGAGUAUAGAAGAGGGAAGCGGAAUUCCGGGUGUAGCGGUGAAAUGCGUAGAUAUCCGGAGGAACACCAGUGGCGAA